rnacentral:rRNA from 1 species
GGAUGGCGCUGGUUGGACUGGCCGGUCGGCGGGGCGGCAGCAGCGGAGACGGCGGCGCUAAACAGGCCGCCCUAACGUGCUCCUUCUUUCCCUCUCUCUACUCCUCGUCGCUCCGGUACCUCGAGGACCCGAAGCGAGGGAUGAGGGCGGGCAGGGGAAGGCUCCAAUUCCGACGCAUAUCUUCUUACCAGUACCUCAGGGUAGGGCUAGCGCAGGGCUACCUAGUCUUCGGAGUUCGGCUCAGUUUUAAGUUCGUCCAUCAUCUUCGUAUAAGAACAAACUUCCUACCAGCUUCUAAACCCUUGUCUUACCUUCACGUACAUUACUCCAGACCACAAGGUUGCCCUAUGUCUUCUAGUUUGUUCUAUAACCAAUUUCGGGGGAAAGACGAGUAUUAAACACGGCGUCAAAGGAAACCAAGGAUGUCGCGAAGCUCCCGUAUGGUCGCCGUUUUCCUACACACAAGGAGAGUCUUGGGAAAAGAAGGUAUUACCUUUGAGUAACAUGACAGCUAUAGGUAUAUUCGAUUAUCUUCUCUUCUAGACACACAACGUUAAACUCUACGUUUUGUUAGAGAGGUGACUUAUUUCCGUGGUUAGUGACAAACACUAAAGUUUCUUUUCUGUGUACGAAACAUCUACAAGUCAAAUCGAGAUCCCUCGUAUACGAGGACGCGCGGCGAAGGGACUUGCAAAACAGGUCACCUG